rnacentral:rRNA from 1 species
UACGUAGGGGGCGAGCGUUUGUCCGGAGUUACUGGGCGUAAAGCGCACGCAGGCGGUCUGCUAAGUUUGGAGUGACAGUUGGUGGCUUAACUGCCAAAGUGCUUCGAAAACUGACAGACUUGAGGGCUUCAGAGGGACACGGAAUUCCGGGUGGAGUGGUGAAAUGCGUAGAGAUCCGGAGGAACACCAAAGGCGAAGGCAGUGUCCUGGGGAGUACCUGACGCUCAGGUGCGAAAGCCAGGGGAGCAAAACAGGGAUUAGACUACCCUGGUAGCAUCCACG